rnacentral:rRNA from 1 species
UUGGUGCCAGCAGCCGCGGUAAUACCGACUCCAAGAGUGUGUAUGAGAGAUGCUGCAGUUAAAAAGUCCGUAGUCAUAGAAGGGCAAAGAGAGAUGCGAGGUCUCACAGUGCGAUGAUGGAGGAGCCGAUGGGGAACAUAGUAUACCAGGGCGAGAGAUGAAAUGCCAAGACCCCUGGUGGACUGAGCGAGGCGAAGGCGAUGUUCUUGUAGGCAUUCGGUGAUCAAGGACGAAGGCUGGAGUAUCGAAAGUGAUUAGAUACCGCAGUAGUUCCAGCAGUAAAAGAUGCCGACAUGCUCAUUGGACACAGUGGGCAGGGAGAAAUCUUAGAGUUCGGGCUCUGGGGAUAGUAUGCUCGCAAGGGUGAAAAUUAAAGAAAUUGACGGAGCUACACCACAAGGAGUGGAUUGUGCGGCUUAAUUUGACUCAACGCGAGGAAACUUACCAGGGCCAAGUAUUGUGUAGAAACGAGCAAUACAGGAGUGGUGCAUGGUCGUUGGAAAUUGAUGGGAUGACUUUGACCUUAAAUGGUUGAAUGAGUGAGAUCUUUUGGACAUGUUCCGCACGGAACAGGAAGGAAAAGGCUAUAACAGAUCCGAGAUGCCCUCAGAUGCCCUGGGCUGCACGCGCAAUACAAUAGCAGGUAGAGAGAGAGACAGGAAGGUGCUCAGAUGGACUAUGUGCUGUAAGGCACAUACGAAAGAGGAAUUCCUAGUAAGUGUGUAUCAACAAUGGAUAUU